AUUGAACGCUGGCGGCAGGCCUAACACAUGCAAGUCGAACGAGUGGCGGACGGGUGAGUAAUGGCUGGGAAACUGCCUGAUGGAGGGGGAUAACUACUGGAAACGGUAGCUCAUACCGCAUACCAUCAGAUUCGCCCAGAUGGGAUUAGCUUGUUGGUGGGGUAACGGCUCACCAAGGCGACGAUCCCUAGCUGGUCUGAGAGGAUGACCAGCCACACUGGGACUGAGACACGGUCCAGACUCCUACGGGAGGCAGCAGUUGGGAAUAGUGAGCAAUGGGCGCAAGCCUGAAGCAGCCAUGCCGCGUGUAUGAAGAAGGCCUUCGGGUUGUAAAGUACUUUCAGCUGGGAGGCGUUACCCGCAGAAGAAGCACCGGCUAACUCCGGGCCAGCAGCCGCGGUAAUUC
rnacentral:rRNA from 1 species